AUGAGGUCACAAGCUGCAGCAUAUAGAGGGAGGAAGCACUACACAAGCCGGAAUGUGCUUGCUAUUGUUGACUUUGAUUUGAAGUUCACAUAUGUGUUGGCUGGCUGGGAAGGAUCAGCACAUGAUGCCAACAUUCUCAGUGACAGCGUGAGUCGUCAUGAUGGCAUCAACAUCCCCGAUGGCAAGUUCUACCUAGGAGAUGCUGGCUAUGCAUGUCGGCUAGGUGUUCUUCCACCCUUCAGGAAAACCAAGUACCAUCAGAACGAGUUCUCUGGUAGGAACUAUCCUAAGACUCCUCAAGAACUAUUCAACAUUAGACACUCCAUCCUUAGAGUAAUGGUUGAGAGGGCAUUUGGAGCUCUGAAGAAUAGGUUUAAGAUCCUGGAUCAGUAGCCAUUCCACCCUUACCCUACCUAGGUCAAACUUGUUCUUGCAUGUUGCAUCAUUUACAACUGAAUCCUGCAAUGAGGAAUUGUUGAACUUGUGCUUGAGGAGGAAGAUGCGUCUCCUAAUGAGGUGAUCAGCUCCGGCCCUGGUGUGGAGGCGUUCGACAAUGAAGUGUGGAAGAACAAAAUGUUGGAGUGGACUCAGACAAUGUGGGAUAACAGAGGUCAGACAAGGAUGAAGAGGAUGAGCUUCCACCUAGUUAGCAUCGUUGAACUUUUCCCUAUUCAGCCAUAUUGGCUCUUAAUAACUUGUAGUGUCAUUUGCUAG
rnacentral:rRNA from 1 species